CAGAGUUCUCGCCCCUCGCGGGUAGAUCUCCCACCCACUGUUAUUGCUACCGUGUUGCUUUGGCGGGCUGCUGGGCCUAGCCCGGCCGCCGGCUCCGGUUAGUCAGCGCCCGCCAGAGGACCCCAAACUCUGAAUGUUAGUGUCGUCUGAGUACUAUAUAAUAGUUA
rnacentral:misc_RNA from 1 species